UACGUAGGAGGCAAGCGUUGUCCGGAAUUACUGGGCGUAAAGCGCGUGUAGGUGGUGGGACAAGUCUGCUGUGAAAGUGCCUGGCUUAACCGGGCGAGGUCGGCGGAAACUGUCCGACUCGAGGACGGUAGAGGGGGUGGAAUUCCCGGUGUAGUGGUGAAAUGCGUAGAGAUCGGGAGGAACACCUGUGGCGAAGGCGGCCCCCUGGGCCGGCCCUGACACUGAGACGCGAAGGCGUGGGGAGCGAACGGG
rnacentral:rRNA from 1 species